CUGGAACGCAGGUGCGGGAGCAAUGGUGCUUCCAGUGUAUUCGGUGGGAACAGGAGUCUAGGGGACGAGGGAGCAGCAGGAGGAGAGGAAUCUGGGUCUGGCGUGACGUCAUGUAGCAUGGGCUCUGCCAGCGCUUACCAUGCUUCCUGGCUUUCCACGAGGUCCCUGCUCUCUGAACGCGACCGUGUCUAGCUCUCUGUGGAAAUGCAGCAAGGACUCCUGACCAGUGUUCUGUCUCAUCUCACCAGUGAGGCCCUGGACCGCAGCAGACUCACCACCGAAAGCCCUCACCAAUCCCGAAGGAAAAGGAGUUGGCAGUCCUGGUGGCCCUCCCACUCCCAGUGUUCCCACAUCUUUCUCUACGUUUUCCUGUUUACAGACACAAAAGCGCAGACACUGCCAGGGCGCACCUGCCCGGAUGGGUCCCUGCAGACACAUGCCAGGCCCUGGAGUGGCUCUCCACUCACCAGCAGGGGGUGGGCAACCCCCAGCACUGGGUAUGGUCACCAGAGGCCCUGCAAGGUCA